AUGGCUAAUAUGAAUAAUUAUAUUAGGACUGCUGCGAUGUACGGUAUCAUAUGCAUUCGACCAUCAAGAAUCAGUAUUGGCAGCAAAGAUUCUAGGAGAGCACCUCUUGCGAUUUACAAAUGUACUUCGGAUUCUAGCAGAGGACGACGGCUCGUGCGGUGGUGUCGGCAAACGAUGGCCUCAGUGGGUGGACGCCGACACAUGCAGCUGGUGCACGAUGGUGACUUCAUGGAGCUCAUGUUCCAAGCAACCCUCUCCUUGUUGGCUCAGGAGGUUCGCGAUCGAGCUUGGGCUGCUGAUACCUCUUCCUCGCCGCCCAACAGGAAUAGCAUGAGAUGA
rnacentral:rRNA from 1 species